GGUUAAGCGACUAAGCGUACACGGUGGAUGCCCUGGCAGUCAGAGGCGAUGAAGGACGUGCUAAUCUGCGAUAAGCGUCGGUAAGGUGAUAUGAACCGUUAUAACCGGCGAUUUCCGAAUGGGGAAACCCAGUGUGUUUCGACACACUAUCAUUAACUGAAUCCAUAGGUUAAUGAGGCGAACCGGGGGAACUGAAACAUCUAAGUACCCCGAGGAAAAGAAAUCAACCGAGAUUCCCCCAGUAGCGGCGAGCGAACGGGGAGCAGCCCAGAGCCUGAAUCAGUGUGUGUGUUAGUGGAAGCGUCUGGAAAGGCGCGCGAUACAGGGUGACAGCCCCGUACACAAAAAUGCACAUGCUGUGAGCUCGAUGAGUAGGGCGGGACACGUGGUAUCCUGUCUGAAUAUGGGGGGACCAUCCUCCAAGGCUAAAUACUCCUGACUGACCGAUAGUGAACCAGUACCGUGAGGGAAAGGCGAAAAGAACCCCGGCGAGGGGAGUGAAAAAGAACCUGAAACCGUGUACGUACAAGCAGUGGGAGCACGCUUAGGCGUGUGACUGCGUACCUUUUGUAUAAUGGGUCAGCGACUUAUAUUCUGUAGCAAGGUUAACCGAAUAGGGGAGCCGAAGGGAAACCGAGUCUUAACUGGGCGUUAAGUUGCAGGGUAUAGACCCGAAACCCGGUGAUCUAGCCAUGGGCAGGUUGAAGGUUGGGUAACACUAACUGGAGGACCGAACCGACUAAUGUUGAAAAAUUAGCGGAUGACUUGUGGCUGGGGGUGAAAGGCCAAUCAAACCGGGAGAUAGCUGGUUCUCCCCGAAAGCUAUUUAGGUAGCGCCUCGUGAAUUCAUCUCCGGGGGUAGAGCACUGUUUCGGCAAGGGGGUCAUCCCGACUUACCAACCCGAUGCAAACUGCGAAUACCGGAGAAUGUUAUCACGGGAGACACACGGCGGGUGCUAACGUCCGUCGUGAAGAGGGAAACAACCCAGACCGCCAGCUAAGGUCCCAAAGUCAUGGUUAAGUGGGAAACGAUGUGGGAAGGCCCAGACAGCCAGGAUGUUGGCUUAGAAGCAGCCAUCAUUUAAAGAAAGCGUAAUAGCUCACUGGUCGAGUCGGCCUGCGCGGAAGAUGUAACGGGGCUAAACCAUGCACCGAAGCUGCGGCAGCGACGCUGAUGCGUUGUUGGGUAGGGGAGCGUUCUGUAAGCCUGCGAAGGUGUGCUGUGAGGCAUGCUGGAGGUAUCAGAAGUGCGAAUGCUGACAUAAGUAACGAUAAAGCGGGUGAAAAGCCCGCUCGCCGGAAGACCAAGGGUUCCUGUCCAACGUUAAUCGGGGCAGGGUGAGUCGACCCCUAAGGCGAGGCCGAAAGGCGUAGUCGAUGGGAAACAGGUUAAUAUUCCUGUACUUGGUGUUACUGCGAAGGGGGGACGGAGAAGGCUAUGUUGGCCGGGCGACGGUUGUCCCGGUUUAAGCGUGUAGGCUGGUUUUCCAGGCAAAUCCGGAAAAUCAAGGCUGAGGCGUGAUGACGAGGCACUACGGUGCUGAAGCAACAAAUGCCCUGCUUCCAGGAAAAGCCUCUAAGCAUCAGGUAACAUCAAAUCGUACCCCAAACCGACACAGGUGGUCAGGUAGAGAAUACCAAGGCGCUUGAGAGAACUCGGGUGAAGGAACUAGGCAAAAUGGUGCCGUAACUUCGGGAGAAGGCACGCUGAUAUGUAGGUGAAGUCCCUCGCGGAUGGAGCUGAAAUCAGUCGAAGAUACCAGCUGGCUGCAACUGUUUAUUAAAAACACAGCACUGUGCAAACACGAAAGUGGACGUAUACGGUGUGACGCCUGCCCGGUGCCGGAAGGUUAAUUGAUGGGGUCAGCGCAAGCGAAGCUCUUGAUCGAAGCCCCGGUAAACGGCGGCCGUAACUAUAACGGUCCUAAGGUAGCGAAAUUCCUUGUCGGGUAAGUUCCGACCUGCACGAAUGGCGUAAUGAUGGCCAGGCUGUCUCCACCCGAGACUCAGUGAAAUUGAACUCGCUGUGAAGAUGCAGUGUACCCGCGGCAAGACGGAAAGACCCCGUGAACCUUUACUAUAGCUUGACACUGAACAUUGAGCCUUGAUGUGUAGGAUAGGUGGGAGGCUUUGAAGUGUGGACGCCAGUCUGCAUGGAGCCGACCUUGAAAUACCACCCUUUAAUGUUUGAUGUUCUAACGUUGACCCCUAAUCGGGGUUGCGGACAGUGUCUGGUGGGUAGUUUGACUGGGGCGGUCUCCUCCUAAAGAGUAACGGAGGAGCACGAAGGUUGGCUAAUCCUGGUCGGACAUCAGGAGGUUAGUGCAAUGGCAUAAGCCAGCUUGACUGCGAGCGUGACGGCGCGAGCAGGUGCGAAAGCAGGUCAUAGUGAUCCGGUGGUUCUGAAUGGAAGGGCCAUCGCUCAACGGAUAAAAGGUACUCCGGGGAUAACAGGCUGAUACCGCCCAAGAGUUCAUAUCGACGGCGGUGUUUGGCACCUCGAUGUCGGCUCAUCACAUCCUGGGGCUGAAGUAGGUCCCAAGGGUAUGGCUGUUCGCCAUUUAAAGUGGUACGCGAGCUGGGUUUAGAACGUCGUGAGACAGUUCGGUCCCUAUCUGCCGUGGGCGCUGGAGAACUGAGGGGGGCUGCUCCUAGUACGAGAGGACCGGAGUGGACGCAUCACUGGUGUUCGGGUUGUCAUGCCAAUGGCACUGCCCGGUAGCUAAAUGCGGAAGAGAUAAGUGCUGAAAGCAUCUAAGCACGAAACUUGCCCCGAGAUGAGUUCUCCCUGACUCCUUGAGAGUCCUGAAGGAACGUUGAAGACGACGACGUUGAUAGGCCGGGUGUGUAAGCGCAGCGAUGCGUUGAGCUAACCGGUACUAAUGAACCGUGAGG
rnacentral:rRNA from 1 species